rnacentral:lncRNA from 1 species
AAGUGCAUUUAUGCAAAUUUUUUUUGCGGCAUCCUCGUUAGCUGUUUUUGUAUAACGGUUACCGUUAACUGUCGCGUUACGGGGGAUUUCGACGUUACAAAUAUGGGAGAUUUCAAGCGUUCUAGCCUGCUGUUGUUUACCUUACACGCUUAUAAAAAUGUCGAAUGGCGUUUGUGCUUCCGAGCAGCUGUUCGCGACGUUCUUCCUCCGUUGCCCGGUCGACUGUUCUGCCUUAAUGUGCAACCGAGCAAGCGCCGUAAACAUGCGCAGUAGCGUCCCAAAUUUCAGUUCAGUAGACGGAUUUGUUGACAACAGACGAAGUUUUGGAUUGAUCUAAGAAAUGUGGAUAACUUAACAAAAAAAGAAGAAGGGGAAAAAAAAAAAAAAAUUAUUUUUGAUUGUUGCAACUCCGCCUUCGAUACCGAACGAAACAUGGACGAAAGCAUUCGAUAAUUACGUUUUUACACAAAAGUAAGUUAUUAUUGUUUGUGUGUUUGUGGAUUAAGAGAAAAUUUCGAUUUCGUCACCUGAUUUAACGCGAAUAACGUUUCGCGGAUUCCCGAUAGGUUGGUAGAGAAAUGAAGUUGUGUCAUGUAGAUUUUCGAACAAAAAGUCAUAUUUCUGCGAAAAGCUGAUGAAUGGAAAAGAGCUGGAAUUGCGUGACAUAACUCCAUUGCUUCACAAUUCGUUUGCGACUGUGUGGUACCGUUCCGGUCCCAGUCACACUCUUCUAUUGUGUAGAAGUUAUACUUUAACGUUGGAAGUCAUUGAUGGCUAACCAAAUCUGCGCACCCCUUUAACUACUGUUUUGAUAGUAAAAACCGUGCAGGAAAGAGGAAGAGCGUUACACACACAUACAAAAUAUACUAUACAGUAUAUGUAUUUAUAUAUACACACAUAUAUAUACAUAUAAUGUCGAAUUUAUCGAUACAGUUCGUGGUAUUUAAUAUGUUUAAACUACCAACUCGUGUUUGCAGAACAAACAGGUGAUUUUCCGAACUUCGCCAUUAAAAAUGACUAUUUUUUAUGCGAUUUUUAAACGGAAUUAAUGUCAGGAUUAUUUAUUAAUAUGCACGUUCUAUGUAUUAACCGGAAGGAAGAAUUUUCUUCUUUUUUUAAUUCUCAUCCGGUGCUAAAUCGCGUGUUUCUGUUCUCGUUCGUGAUUUACGAGAACGUUUGUUGCUCGAACAACAAUACAGCGCUCGAGCCAAGUUUUUAGAAAACUGUAACUGCCCUGUGGCCACGUCACUUGCCUGUUAUCCUUUUUUUUUUGUGUGUGUGUGUGUGUAUGUGUGCGGUUUCUGACACAAUUCGAAUAUUCUCCCAGUAACCAACAAACUAAAAUAUGCUAAUCGACUGUCGUGUUUUUAGUUAGAAUAUACUAGCAAUCGAGUCAUUUACGAAACAUUGGAUAUUAACGAUUCGAUAAAAUUUUUAAGAAUACUGUAUAUAAAAAUGAAUACAAAGACAAAGAAAAAUCGAACAAUGGACACGUUUCUGCAUUUUAUUGUGGAAACGAUUUUCAUUGACACGAGAAUCUCGUUUCUUGUUUUGCUUACGUCAGAAACAAGAUGUUGCAUGCAUGAAUUGUCAAUGAAGUCAGUGUUAUAUCCAUGUUGCGCGUCCUUGCCGAACCAAAACUCUGCAUACACAAUAGGUAUUCCACCAGUUAAAUUAGUCCUUCUAUGGAACACGUUUCAGCAAAACGGACUUUCAGAGAUACAUACACCCCGUUAAAAUAUAUAUAUAUAUACGUGUUAUGAUAAUGAUCGUAAUCAGCGCUCGGAGGGAUAGUACCAACAACACAUUAACGCAGCAAAGGUUUAUAUGUAUGACAUAAGAACGUGACUUCACCGUGGGUGUGACAGUGGAAUGAUAUAUCGAAGGUGUUUUGAUACAUUGCCAAUUUUUCUGGUAAUAUUCUCUCGACUAGUUUCUGUAGUCGCAGGUAUACUUUAACCCGUACAGGACUCCAGUAAGUAGUUGGCUGAUUGACCUACAUAUAGCCAUAUGUCGGUCACACAGCUACCUUGCGUGUUGUAUACAUACACUUCGUUUUCCAUCUACCUCGCGAUAACGGAUAUGCGCGAAUCCCUAUUACGAUUCGCUUAACGGAAUCGAUGUCGUAAUCUACAGAUUAACGUUAAUCGCCGUUCGGAAUGGCAAUUAUUAAGACCGAAAUAUACUACACGAGAAAUUUACGAUAAGAGAGAGGCUAUAGAGGAUAUAUCGCGGCGUCCAGAGAAAUAUAAGGGUCAAUUAUCCCUGGAUGAGUAUUGUCUUCGCUCGGUAAUAACGUCGAACUACGAAUUUUAUCGCUUAAUUGGAGGAUAUGCGAUUCGCUAGGCUCAUUAAUCUGUUCGGUGCUUGCCUACAAGUGAUACAGUUUUGUGUGACAAUUAUCUUCCGACUUUAGCUUUAUGGUGGGUGGAUUGGAUUCGUACUUACGAUACUAAUUUAUUAUCAUCAUUAUUUAUUAUUUUUUUGAGAAUUUGUUUUAUGGUUUCUGUUUGUUUUAGAAAUUAUACCGAAGGUCGCUGCGUUUGGGUGUGGGAUUAAUUAGUUCUUACGCAAUGCCUGUUCAAUUUUGGGCGUGGAGUUUAGGGAGUGUUAUGCAAUACGGCAAAUUUUUUUUACAUUCUGUGCAACAACAGUUUAAGGCACGUGUUCUAUGCAAUAGCAAUUUGAUUAAUGCACCCAUUUUUAUUUUACGAUAUCACUCGAUUGUUGCAAUGAAUGCAGCAUACAAAUUCCUCAAACCGAAAAGCAUUAUCGGUUAAGUUAAAGAUAUUCUUACGCAAUUUUAAGCUGAU